GAUGGACGCUGGCGGCGUGCCUAAUACAUGCAAGUCGAGCGAACGGACGAGAAGCUUGCUUUUCUGAUGUUAGCGGCGGACGGGUGAGUAACACGUGGAUAACCUACCUAUAAGACUGGGAUAACUUCGGGAAACCGGAGCUAAUACCGGAUAAUAUUUUGAACCGCAUGGUUCAAAAGUGAAAGACGGUCUUGCUGUCACUUAUAGAUGGAUCCGCGCUGCAUUAGCUAGUUGGUAAGGUAACGGCUUACCAAGGCAACGAUGCAUAGCCGACCUGAGAGGGUGAUCGGCCACACUGGAACUGAGACACGGUCCAGACUCCUACGGGAGGCAGCAGUAGGGAAUCUUCCGCAAUGGGCGAAAGCCUGACGGAGCAACGCCGCGUGAGUGAUGAAGGUCUUCAGAUCGUAAAACUCUGUUAUUAGGGAAGAACAUAUGUGUAAGUAACUGUGCACAUCUUGACGGUACCUAAUCAGAAAGCCACGGCUAACUACGUG
rnacentral:rRNA from 1 species